rnacentral:lncRNA from 10 species
CGGAGAGGAGAGAGGAAGAGGAAGGAACGCGCCUGGCGUCACUGAGGGUGUCACCCGGGACCGCGGCUCAGGAACCCCAGACGCACGGGCCUUGUGCUGUCGCUGCCGUGGCACCCCUUCUAGAAGGACUCUAUUCUCUAUAACAGAAGUGGGAGCCUUGGACAACUGAACGCCUAUCUCUAGCUCAAGAAAUGUCAGCUCUUUUUUUUUUUUUGAGACUGUCACCCAGUCGGGAGUACAGUGGCGCCAUCUUGGCUCUCUGUAACCUCCACCUCCUGGGUUCAAGCGAUUCUCCUGCCUCAGCCUCCUGAGUAGCUGGGGCUACAGGUAUGCACCAUCACUCCUGGCUAAUUGUUGUAUUUUUAGUAGAUAAUGGGGUUUCACCAUGUUGGCCAGGGUGGUCUCAAACUCCUGACCUCAGGUGAUCUGCCUGCCUCGGCCUCCCAAAGUGCUGGGAUUACAGACGUGAGCCACCAUGCCCAGCCAAGAAAUGUCAAUUCUUUAUCGUAGCCUGGCUUUCCAUAUUUCUCACUAGGGUUUUUAUUCUCUAGUUUGUAAAUCACAUUUGGCGUUUGUAGAUCACUCCUUCCCUUUUAGUGGCAUUCUCUAUUAGGUGUCCAUCUCCCAAUAUGAAGAAACAGUUUUCUGCUUUUUCCUCCUUUAUCUGAUCCAUUUACAGAUUUAUUACAUUUAUAAUAGGCUAGGUAUUGGGGAUACAAAAAUGAAUAAGAUAUGGUCUGUUUUCAAAGGUAUGCAGAAACUUUUCUAUAUAUUCCUACUGACUUGUAUUUGUAUUUCUUGAAUUAAAAACAAUCCUGGCUGUGUUUUUUUUUUUUUUUUUUUGCUCUUAGUGAAUCUUUGUUUCUUCUUUUCAUUAUGGCAUUCCAGUUGAGUUUCACCACGCAUUAUCAUGAGAAUAAAUAAUUUCACUGACUUUAAUAAUAUUUGAUCACUUAUGUUGAUGUCAUUUAACUCUCAUUUACAUUUCAGUGGUCUAAAACACAACUAAGAUACUAAAAGAAAAAUAAAAGAUGAGAUUAUUGGCAAAUAAUUACCAC